rfam:Firmicutes bacterium CAG:646 genomic scaffold, scf136
GAUACCUUAUAUGACUGACGGAAGUGGAGUUUACCACAGGGAGUAUAAGGGGUAGAAGCCGACCGUCUGGGCAAUCUCG